GACGAACGCUGGCGGCGUGCUUAAUACAUGCAAGUCGAACGGAAGGGCCCUGCUUUUGUGGGGUGCUCGAGUGGCGAACGGGUGAGUAACACGUGAGUAACCUGCCCUUGACUUUGGGAUAACUUCAGGAAACUGGGGCUAAUACCGGAUAGGAGCUCCUGAUGCAUGGUGGGGGUUGGAAAGUUUCGGCGGUUGGGGAUGGACUCGCGGCUUAUCAGCUUGUUGGUGGGGUAGUGGCUUACCAAGGCUUUGACGGGUAGCCGGCCUGAGAGGGUGACCGGCCACAUUGGGACUAAGAUACGGCCCAGACGCCUACGGGAGGCAGCAGUGGAGAAUAUUGCACAAUGGGCGGAAGCCUGAUGCAGCAACGCCGCGUGCGGGAUGACGGCCUUCGGGUGGUAAACCGCUUUCGCCUGUGACGAAGCGUGAGUGACGGUAAUGGGUAAAGAAGCACCGGCUAACUACGUG
rnacentral:rRNA from 1 species